rnacentral:rRNA from 1 species
GAUGAACGCUGGCGGCGUGCCUAAUACAUGCAAGUCGAGCGAACGGACGAGAAGCUUGCUUCUCUGAUGUUAGCGGCGGACGGGUGAGUAACACGUGGAUAACCUACCUAUAAGACUGGGAUAACUUCGGGAAACCGGAGCUAAUACCGGAUGAUAUUUUGAACCGCAUGGUUCAAAAGUGAAAGACGGUCUUGCUGUCACUUAUAGAUGGAUCCGCGCUGCAUUAGCUAGUUGGUAAGGUAACGGUUUACCAAGGCAACGAUGCGUAGCCGACCUGAGAGGGUGAUCGGCCACACUGGAACUGAGACACGGUCCAGACUCCUACGGGAGGCAGCAGUAGGGAAUCUUCCGCAAUGGGCGAAAGCCUGACGGAGCAACGCCGCGUGAGUGAUGAAGGUCUUCGGAUCGUAAAACUCUGUUAUUAGGGAAGAACAUAUGUGUAAGUAACUAUGCACGUCUUGACGGUACCUAAUCAGAAAGCCACGGCUAACUACGUG